ACCAGAAAAAACCAAACCCACCGUGAGAUGGGGGCAGAAAGCUACGGGCCUUGAGAUUGACGAUCAGUCAUCAAUUCUAAGACAGCCGGGUUGCCUGG
rnacentral:ncRNA from 1 species